AGAGUUUGAUCCUGGCUCAGAACGAACGCUGGCGGCACGCCUAACACAUGCAAGUCGAACGGAGUAUAUACUUUCGGGUAAAUACUUAGUGGCGAACGGGUGAGUAACACGUGAGUAACCUGCCCCAGACUCUGGGAUAAGCACUGGAAACGGUGUCUAAUACCGGAUACGAGCUUCAACCGCAUGGUUAGGAGCUGGAAAGAAUUUCGGUCUGAGAUGGACUCGCGGCCUAUCAGCUAGUUGGUGAGGUAACGGCCCACCAAGGCGACGACGGGUAGCCGGCCUGAGAGGGUGACCGGCCACACUGGGACUGAGACACGGCCCAGACUCCUACGGGAGGCAGCAGUGGGAAUAUUGCACAAUGGGCGCAAGCCUGAUGCAGCAACGCCGCGUGAGGGACGACGGCCUUCGGGUUGUAAACCUCUUUAGUAGAGAAGAAGCGAAAGUGACGGUACCUGCAGAAAAAGCACCGGCUAACUACGUG
rnacentral:rRNA from 1 species